CCUCCGGGUGGCAGCAGUGAGGAAUAUUGGUCAAUGGACGCAAGUCUGAACCAGCCAUGCCGCGUGAAGGAAGAAGUAUUUCGGUAUGUAAACUUCUAUCAGCAGGGAAGAAAAUGACGGUACCUGACUAAGAAGCCCCGGCUAACUACGUGCCAGCAGCCGCGGUAAUACGUAGGGGGCAAGCGUUAUCCGGAUUUACUGGGUGUAAAGGGAGCGUAGGCGGCGAUGCAAGUCAGAAGUGAAAGCCCGGGGCUCAACUCCGGGACUGCUUUUGAAACUGUGUUGCUAGAUUGCAGGAGAGGUAAGUGGAAUUCCUAGUGUAGCGGUGAAAUGCGUAGAUAUUAGGAGGAACACCAGUGGCGAAGGCGGCUUACUGGACUGUAAAUGACGCUGAGGCUCGAAAGCGUGGGGAGCAAACAGGAUUAGAUACCCGUGUAGUC
rnacentral:rRNA from 1 species